CAGCCGCCGCGGUAAAACGAAGGGGGCUAGCGUUGUUCGGAUUUACUGGGCGUAAAGGGCGCGUAGGCGGGCGAAUAAGUCAGGGGUGAAAUCCCAAGGCUCAACCCUGGAACUGCCUUUGAUACUGUUUGUCUUGAGUUCGAGAGAGGUAAGUGGAACUGCGAGUGUAGAGGUGAAAUUCGUAGAUACCGGGAUGAACGCCGAUGGCGAAGGCAGCCACCUGGUCCACUUCUGACGCUGAGGCGCGAAAGCGUGGGGAGCAAACCGGAUUAGAUACCCGCGUAGUCCCUGUCUCUUAUAC
rnacentral:rRNA from 1 species